rnacentral:rRNA from 1 species
GACGAACGCUGGCGGCGUGCCUAAUACAUGCAAGUUGAGCGCUGAAGGUUGGUACUUGUACCCACUGGAUGAGCAGCGCACGGGUGAGUAACGCGUGGGGAAUCUGCCUUUGAGCGGGGGACAACAUUUGGAAACGAAUGCUAAUACCGCAUAAAAACUUUAAACACAAGUUUUAAGUUUGAAAGAUGCAAUUGCAUCACUCAAAGAUGAUCCCGCGUUGUAUUAGCUAGUUGGUGAGGUAAAGGCUCACCAAGGCGAUGAUACAUAGCCGACCUGAGAGGGUGAUCGGCCACAUUGGGACUGAGACACGGCCCAAACUCCUACGGGAGGCAGCAGUAGGGAAUCUUCGGCAAGGGACGAAAGUCUGACCGAGCAACGCCGCGUGAGUGAAGAAGGGUUUCGGAUCGUAAAACUCUGUUGGUAGAGAAGAACGUUGGUGAGAGUGGAAAGCUCAUCAAGUGACGGUAACUACCCAGAAAGGGACGGCUAACUACGUG